UACGGAGGGUGCAAGCGUUAUCCGGAUUCACUGGGUUUAAAGGGUGCGUAGGCGGAUAGGUAAGUCCGUGGUGAAAUCCUGCAGCUUAACUGCAGAACUGCCAUGGAUACUAUCUAUCUUGAAUGUCGUGGAGGUUAGCGGAAUAUGUCAUGUAGCGGUGAAAUGCUUAGAGAUGACAUAGAACACCCAUUGCGAAGGCAGCUAACUACGCGAUAAUUGACGCUGAUGCACGAAAGCGUGGGGAUCAAACAGG
rnacentral:rRNA from 1 species